AUACGGAGGGUGCAAGCGUUAAUCGGAAUUACUGGGCGUAAAGCGUGCGUAGGUGGUUUGUUAAGUUAGAUGUGAAAGCCCCGGGCUCAACCUGGGAACUGCAUUUGAAACUGGCAUACUAGAGUAUAGGAGAGGAAAGUGGAAUUUCAGGUGUAGCGGUGAAAUGCGUAGAUAUCUGAAGGAACAUCAAUGGCGAAGGCAGCUUUCUGGACUAAUACUGACACUGAGGUACGAAAGCGUGCGUAGCAAACAGGAUUAGAAACCCCAGUAGUCC
rnacentral:rRNA from 1 species